rnacentral:rRNA from 1 species
GACGAACGCUGGCGGCGUGCUUAACACAUGCAAGUCGAACGGAAAGGCCCAGCUUUUGUGGGGUGCGCGAGUGGCGAACGGGUGAGUAACACGUGAGUAACCUGCCCUUGACUUUGGGAUAACUUCAGGAAACUGGGGCUAAUACCGGAUAGGAGCUCCUGCUGCAGGGUGGGGGUUAGAAAGUUUCGGCGGUUGGGGAUAGACGCGCGGCUUAUCAGCUUGUUGGUGGGGUAGUGGCUUACCAAGGCUUUGACGGUUAGCCGGCCUGAGAGGGUGACCGGCCACAUUGGGCCUGAGAUACGGCCCAGACUCCUACGGGAGGCAGCGGUGGGGAUUAUUGCACAAUGGGCGGAGGCCUGAUGCAGCAACGCCGCGUGCGGGAUGACGGCCUUCGGGUUGUAAACCGCUUUCGCCUGUGACGAAGCGUGAGUGACGGUAAUGGGUAAAGAAGCACCGGCUAACUACGUG